GUCUGCAACAAAAAACACAUACAAAUGAUAAGUCAGAAGAGUUCUCUAACAGAUCUCAACAAACGCCAUCAACAGGUCCAUAAGAGAGAUUACGAUGGAGCAAUUCACAAGGCCUACAAGAGAAACAAAAGCUUCGUCUAACAGUCUCAUUAUCUAAGCAAACAAUAAGAUGCCAAGUAGUUAGUAUUUGAUAUGUGAUUCCAACACUUGGCAGAUAAACAGUUUAAGCUUGAGAAUCAAUUGAUUGCAUCUAAAAUAUUCGUUUAGAACUACCAAAAGUCUUGUUUUUUUCAAUCCACAAGGGUCAAUCAAAGAGACAAUCAGAGGAAACUAAAGCCAAGCAAGCUCCCCAAAUUAGAAAAGACCCAUCAAGCAACCGACACGUUUCACCACCCCAAAACGAUAAAAAGCCUUAAGCUUUGAUGAAAGGAACAUCCAAUCAAACAUCAAACGUUCUAACUUCACAAACAAAACCAAACCCAUAACUGAUAAGAACAUCAUCAAUCACAAGAGACCAAUCGAACAGUUCAAAGUAACAUCACCAAAUCAGAGGUGAAAUCGAUCACACCCAGAAGCAAAAUAGAUGAAAAGGUCUCACCUUGCUCUCAAUAAGGUUAACUUGAUCGCUCCCAGCCAUGGAAAGUAACAAAGGUGUUUCCUUUUAAUACCCAAACAGAACAGUACAGAGAGACACGAAAGCCCAAAUCGAAUCCGAUUAAGAACAAAAGUUUUAGCCGAGAAGGGAAAUCUGGCAAAGACUAAAACGAGUUUCAAGUUUCGAUGAGUAUUAAGUUUUUAUCUGGAAAUAGAAAUAAUU